rnacentral:lncRNA from 1 species
UUUGACCGUCUCCCAGUUAUUGGCUCUUACAUCUUCGAUAAAUAGUUAAUAGUUCCCGCAAUCAAUCCACUUCUAAGUCGCAUCUCUGGCAAACAAGCAAUACAUGGAAAAUAAAACAGACCCUCAUAAUGAAUUAUGUGAUAUGAGAUCGAACCGAAUGCUCCAUGAAUCAUAUCCUCACACUGAACAACUUCAUAUUCGCUGCUUCGCAUACCACUAACCAAAUCAGGGUCUCCGAGGCUCUAUGAAUUGUUUGAAUUAUUAUCUCGUUCCCUCGAUCCGGACGGAGGAGCCACCUAUUUACCUUCCUUACAAUUCAUCCAAU